rnacentral:rRNA from 1 species
AACGAACGCUGGCGGCAGGCUUAACACAUGCAAGUCGAGCGCCCCGCAAGGGGAGCGGCAGACGGGUGAGUAACGCGUGGGAACCUACCCAUCUCUACGGAAUAACGCAUGGAAACGUGUGCUAAUACCGUAUACGUCCUUCGGGAGAAAGAUUUAUCGGAGAUGGAUGAGCCCGCGUUGGAUUAGCUAGUUGGUGGGGUAAAGGCCUACCAAGGCGACGAUCCAUAGCUGGUCUGAGAGGAUGAUCAGCCACACUGGGACUGAGACACGGCCCAGACUCCUACGGAAGGCAGCAGUGGGGAAUAUUGGACAAUGGGCGCAAGCCUGAUCCAGCCAUGCCGCGUGAGUGAUGAAGGCCCUAGGGUUGUAAAGCUCUUUCACCGGUGAAGAUAAUGACGGUAACCGGAGAAGAAGCCCCGGCUAACUUCGUGCCAGCCGCCGCCGUAAAAC